rnacentral:siRNA from 1 species
GUCGUCAGUCGUCUAGCUCUU